GGGGCGUUAGCUCAGUUGGUAGAGCAACUGACUCUUAAUCAGUGGGUCUAGGGUCCGAAUCCCUAACGCCCCA
rnacentral:tRNA from 1 species